UUCCAUCUCCAAAGCAAUGGCGAAGAACAUGAACAAGAAGAAAGAUAAAUGAUUCCGCUUUAAUGGACAUCAUUGAAGAGCCCGUUUCAGAUUUGCCUCAAGCAAUGGACACCUCAGAGUCGGGGGCUCACAACCCAAGUGGUGGUGCUUCCAGUUUGUAAGUAUCAUCAUCAAGUAUUACUAAGCAGUCAUUUUUUAUAUAAGAUUAUUAGGUUUUUCUGUUAGUGGAGUGAUUAUCAAGACCACAAAUUUAAAAUCUUAAACCUUAAAGACGCAUUUCUACAUGAUUUUCUUCGAUAGAUUGAUUUGUGGUCUUGAUUUGUGUUAAUUGGGUAUUAUAGCUAUUGCUAAAAGAUUAUGGGUGAGGUUUCAUUCUGGGUUCAAUUCAAAUAAACAAGUGCAUAUGUGGUAUAACAGGGUCUUUAAUUUUUGUGGAUGUUUACUUGUCCUCUUAUGUGAAAAUAUAGGUUGUUUACUGUAUAAGAUGGUGCAAAGUUUCAAAUCUAACCGAAAUCAAUUCCAUUCAUAAUUAAGCUUGGAAUGUAUAUUUUUUUAUUCACUAGGUUGAUGUGUUAGAUGGAUUGGUAUUAUUGCAUGACAUGACAAACCAUGCAAAUCCUCACUUUGACUGUCAUCAUAUGAUGGUUUUCUAGUACAGAGUUCUUCGACAGAGCAGUGCCGCUGCUACUCUCACUAUGAAGUAGUUUUUGCCUGUGAUCUAGCCUGGUUACUUCUUCGUCAUGUUUUGUGGCUCAGAAGGAAUUGUUUUAACAUCACUCUGUUUUUGGGUGUCAUUCGAGCAUGGUUCGAAUGGGUAAUGAGGAGACUUGUUUUUGUAGCUUGUUGAUACUGCUCUGUGACAGAUCAUGUCAUGGGUGCAUGAAUAGGGAUAGAAUUCAAGGCAUGGAAGGGAAGAAAUUUGAGGAAGGGGAGGGUUAAGGAUUAAUGUAUUUCUUUUUCUUAAGGACUAAGGUGGCUAACGAUGAAUGAAGAAAUUCUACCUCAGCCCAUUAACCUAUAUGUUGUUUGUUAAAUUUACCCAUUAAAUGCUUCUGUGAUUGAAGAAAUAGAUUUGCCUAUCCUGGUUUCAUUUCAUUUCCAGCUCCUUUGUUUAUUGCAUAUGUAUCAUGUAAUUAAUUAUUCUUUUAGCUGCAAAGUUCAAUUUGAUUAGACAUCCACUUGUUGCGACAUCUACUUCUUAUGCAUUAUUUCUCAGUGAAGUCUGAUACAAUACAAUUGAAGUAUUUAAGAUAACUAGUGGGAAGAUGAUAUCUCUACUUUCUGAGUUCAUGGAUACUUGUGAAAAUAAAGAUAUUAGGGUUGAAGAAUAUUUAGAUUUCAUUGUUAAGAAGCGAUCAGUUGCAAGCAAGGAAGCACUUGGAAUACGAAUUCACAGCCUGGGGUAUGUCACAUUUUUGCUUCUACUUUUUGGUAAAAAAUAAAAGUCUAUUUUGUAGAUAGCUCAAUACUGAACUUAGAACUAUAUUGGGAAAGGAGACCUCUUUUUAUAGUACUUGCUGUGCAUAAAUUUGAUGUCAUAUUUACUUAUUUAUAAAGUUUUUCAUGCAGUCAAAGUCGUUCUAAUGUCCACAGAGCAUGUGGAAGUCAAAAUUUCAUCUAUUAUGGAUGUUGAGUUACAAGGAUCAUGCCUGUGCUCGUGUUGAGUUACAGGGAUCUUUAAUGCAUGCUUUUGCUGAUGUACUUGCUUCUUUGAAAAAUAUUUGAUGAUGCAGAAGCUAUUACAUGCACAGUUUUGGGUCUUGUUGAUCAUUUCUCGGUCCUAAUUUUAAGUGCUCCGUGUUCACAUCGUUCUUGUUGAAUGCCCCCCGCCCCCGCCUCUUAAGUUUUCAAUUAAGCUCAGUCCAACAUGAAUUUACUUGGUGAUAAAUUAACAUUGAUACACCCACACACGCAGGGGUGAAAUCAAGCCACACCAUACCACCUGGUUGAUUAAGGUUUGGGAUGACAUAUCAUGUGUUCAAGUCAUCUCAUUGUCCUUUGUCAGUUAUAUAAUGUAUAUUUUAACGACAUUGAUUGGAGUAAACUUUAUGAUAACAGGAUGCAUAUUUCUGCCAUCUGGGAAGCCAGGAAUCUAGAAAUUUCCAAUGUAAAGAAAUCAGAGAAGGCAUUUCAGCCAAAUCCAAUAAAAAGGAUAGGAAGUUUCCACUUUUAUCCGCAGAGAAAAAGGAGCUAGACAAACGUUUCAGCACUAUUUCUCAGCGCGUUGAAUCGUUUUCCCCUGUACAUAAGGAUUUUUGUGGCAAGCACAUUAGAUUUGAUCCUUCAAGCUCAGAGGAUGAAGGUAGGGAUGAUUAUUUAUCUGAGGAGAAUGAUGAAAAAUAAUGACCAUUUAACAGGCAGUCAGGUUAACUUCUCCUUAGAGUAUGUUAAAAGUUCUGACCGAGUGAGUAGUUGCUAAAUUUUCUUGUAUAGUUGCACCAUGUUGUUUCAUUAUUUAUUCCUUUUGUGGUUUUAACUUAGCCUUAGUAUGAGUGCUAUAAAUUAUUCAGUAUGAUAUGAAGUUGUAGCCAAGGUGGGACUGACAUGAUGUCGUUCUGGUACUAUGGUGAUAAUGGCUGAAGAGGUUCAUAAUUUUAUA